rnacentral:misc_RNA from 1 species
GUAUUAUGUUAUGGUUUUUACAUUCGGGUUUUGCUUGUUAAAUGUGAAGGCGGACGUGUUUGACCACGACCGAAGUGCACGGGUGUGUGUGAUUGGAUUUCGACGUGCAGCCUUGCGGCGCACAGAAGAAAGAAUCUAUAAUGAUCCUUCCGCAGGUUCACCUACGGAAA